UCCUUGUCGGGUAAGUUCCGACCUGCACGAAUGGCGUAACGAUGGCGGCGCUGUCUCCACCCGAGACUCAGUGAAAUUGAAAUCGCUGUGAAGAUGCAGUGUAUCCGCGGCUAGACGGAAAGACCCCGUGAACCUUUACUGUAGCUUUGCACUGGACUUUGAGCCUGCUUGUGUAGGAUAGGUGGGAGGCUUUGAAGCGUGGACGCCAGUUCGCGUGGAGCCAUCCUUGAAAUACCACCCUGGCAUGCUUGAGGUUCUAACUCUGGUCCGUGAUCCGGAUCGAGGACAGUGUAUGGUGGGCAGUUUGACUGGGGCGGUCUCCUCCUAAAGAGUAACGGAGGAGUACGAAGGUGCGCUCAGACCGGUCGGAAAUCGGUCGCAGAGUAUAAAGGCAAAAGCGCGCUUGACUGCGAGACAGACACGUCGAGCAGGUACGAAAGUAGGUCUUAGUGAUCCGGUGGUUCUGUAUGGAAGGGCCAUCGCUCAACGGAUAAAAGGUACUCCGGGGAUAACAGGCUGAUACCGCCCAAGAGUUCAUAUCGACGGCGGUGUUUGGCACCUCGAUGUCGGCUCAUCACAUCCUGGGGCUGAAGCCGGUCCCAAGGGUAUGGCUGUUCGCCAUUUAAAGUGGUACGCGAGCUGGGUUUAGAACGUCGUGAGACAGUUCGGUCCCUAUCUGCCGUGGACGUUUGAGAUUUGAGAGGGGCUGCUCCUAGUACGAGAGGACCGGAGUGGACGAACCUCUGGUGUUCCGGUUGUCACGCCAGUGGCAUUG
rnacentral:rRNA from 1 species